AUGUUUCAAAGUAUCGUGUUUGUAUUUCGGUCUUCUGUUUUGCAGACCUCUGCAGGCGGCAAGAAGAUCGUCGGGGUGUUCUACCAGGCCAGCGAGUACGCCGACAAGAACCCCAACUUCGUCGGCUGCGUCGAGGGUGCCCUCGGCAUACGCAGCUGGCUGGAAUCCAAUGGACAUCACUACAUCGUCACAGACGACAAGGAGGGAUUGGACAGCGAGCUGGAGAAACACAUUGAAGACAUGCAUGUUCUGAUAACCACCCCAUUCCACCCAGCCUAUGUUACUGCAGAGCGGAUCAAGAAGGCAAAGAACCUCGAGUUGGUUCUCACAGCUGGGAUUGGCUCAGACCAUAUUGAUUUGCUCGCUGCUGCUGCUGCUCGUUUGACUGGCAGAGCUGAUGCGCAUCUUGAUUCUGCUCAGGAACUUCUUCCUGGCUAUCAACAGGUUGUCCAAGGUGAAUGGAAUGUUGCAGGCAUUGCCCACAGAGCUUAUGAUCUUGAGGGAAAGACCGUCGGAACUGUCGGGGCUGGUCGUAUUGGCAGGCUCUUACUUCAACGCCUUAAGCCCUUCAACUGCAACCUGCUCUAUCAUGACAGAAUUCAAAUUAACCCGGAGCUUGAGAAAGAAAUUGGGGCGAUAUUUGAAGAGGACCUGGAUGUGAUGCUUCCAAAGUGUGAUGUCAUUGUGAUCAACACACCUCUUACUGAGAAGACUAGAGGCAUGUUCAAUAAAGAAAAGAUUGCGAAGAUGAAGAAAGGUGUAAUCAUCGUGAAUAACGCUCGGGGAGCAAUCAUGGAUACCCAGGCAGUUGCUGAUGCUUGCUCCAGUGGUUACAUUGCUGGAUAUGGAGGUGAUGUCUGGUUCCCCCAACCCGCACCCAAGGAUCACCCAUGGCGCUACAUGCCUAAUCACGCAAUGACCCCUCACACCUCUGGGACUACAAUUGAUGCACAGCUGAGGUACGCGUCUGGUGUGAAGGACAUGUUGGAUAGGUACUUCAAGGGCGAGGACUUCCCCACAGAGAACUACAUCGUCAAGGAAGGCGAGCUCGCCGGCCAGUACAAGUAG
rnacentral:rRNA from 1 species